CUGAACACAGUACUCGAGGUGCUGGCCUCACCAGAACCGAGUACAGGGGGACGAUCACCUCCCUAGCCCUGCUGGUCACAGUGUUUGUCUGGACAGUAUAAAAAAUCUUAGUCAUAUCUUAAGAACCAUUUUCCUUUAAGUAUAAAACUAUUGUCCUUUAUAACGCAUUAAAAUCAAUCACUGUGCUAAAAAACCCAGACCUCCCCCCCAAACUCUUAAGUAUAUUUAAGGUCAGUGAAGUAUAUACACCAGCAGGAUAAAAUCAGCAGUUGCAUACAGAGAUUUCAUGGUAGUGACAUCAGCAAUUCAAAUUUAAGAUAUGGACACAAUAGCUUGAAGGUUUUUAUUUAAUAAUUCUUUAUUUUUGAGUUGAAAAGGGGAAAAAGUGAUUAAAAUGCAAAAGUUUUAGUUAAUAGAUGAUCUAACAUGUUUCUUAUCCCUCCUAAGGUGGCUUUUCUUCUUGUUCCUAAUGAAAAUGUGAAUCAUAAAUGGAAGAUGUUGGUAUUAUGACAUGACAUCCUUCAGUAAAUCAUGAUACUUUGGGUGGCUGUUGGCAUUUUCUGUUGGCUGUACUUCUGUUAGCUGUUCUAUGCCUUGAUUUGUGGACUUCCAUACUUUUCAUUUCUUCUCUUUUAAGCUCUUAAAUAACAGAAUGCUUCUUACUCUAAGUGCUAAGUUUAUAUAUGUUCCUUCUGAAAAGUAUUAUGUGGAUCCAGGUGGAGAGAAAAUAAUUUCAAAUAUUUCAUCUUAAGGACUACUUUGGAAAGGCUUUCCUUUUUCAGGAAAUGGCAUUCUCUGUGUGACAGCACGGGGUACCCUUUAGUUGCCCUUCAAGCAAGGAAAUGUCACAACUGGCCUUUUUCAAUGGGAAUACAUUUUCUCAGUUACUGUUACUGGAGAAUAGUAACUGUUAAUAGUUACUGUUACUGAAGCGUUACUGAAGAAUACCUGUGAUUUGGGAAGGGGUGUUCGUGGUCUCACCCGUUUAUCCAAAAGGCAUCUUCUUGCUCUUGUCAACUUAAAAAAGGUUUCCUUUUGUAGAAUCCCCUCCCAGGUAGAGGCUUCUGACCUGGCAUGCUCUUGCUCUAAGGUUUUUGAUGUUUGCAUUUAUUUAUGAAGAAGCAGUCUGUUAAGAGAAAUCCACAGGCACUACUGAUUUGGAGAGAUGGGGAAAGCUUUCAGAAAGCCCCAUCGUUUUAGCAAUGGUACUUUCUAAAGAUGUUCUAAAGUUCCUGUCUGCAGCAGGUGUUCUGUAAGAUGCUCCAGCUGUUCAGGACUUGAAAUAACCUCACUUUACAAGUUGUCGGAUACCACUUAUGUACAGGUACCACAUAAAUAACUUGCUUCAGCCCUUUAGUACCAGGUAUGUCUGUAGUGACAUGCAUCUAUGUUGGACUAUGGCAGCUUGGGAGACUUCUACUGCUUGUUGACAAGACCAGUAUGGCAAUCUGAGCUUUAGAAACCUUUGUGUUUGUUUUCUAAUGUUAGGAUGCUGUUGCAAGGUUGUAUUAGAUACUGACCCAAACCCCUGUCUUGUGUCUUUUGGUACCUUUAAGAUGCACUGGGGUGAGCCUUUUCUCAGUUACUUUGAGGAGAUGACUGCGUGAAGAAGAAUAUCUUUACUUUUAAACUAUUUUGUAGCUUGAAAGCAGGAGAAACAGGAAAGUGGUGAAUAAAGGAAAAAAGAAAUAGCUCAUAAUUUGUGUUAAAACCAAUGCACUUCUCCAGCAUGUUGUUUUCUGUUGAGUAGAGAUAACUUAAAGAUAUUUUUUCUAUAUUCUUUAGUUGAGAUUUUCAUAAGCUGCCGUUACAUGGAAGGAACAGUAUAGAACUGAAUAGUUAAAUUUGCCCAGUAGAUGAUGAAAUCGUACUGUAUGCAUUUAUAGGCAGAUUGUGCUUUUGGAAAGCUAACCCAUUAAUGGUAAUUGCUGAGAGGAAUGAUUAGUAUGCUAGAGCUCUAUCAAAAAAUAACACGACUGUCAGAGAGCAGCCAGUUCAAAUGAAUAAGCAUAUUCUCCACUUCACCUGAACGUUUCAAUUACCUAAUUCCAGCUCUGUGUUUUUCUUUAACUAGUAGAGGUUGCAGUGGGGUGCCACUGCUCCUUUCCAUUUGGUCUGCCGUGCCCGAGGCACUCAGUGAAUGCAGAGCUGCCUGCAGGGUCCCAGGUCAAGCGAUAAACAUCGACUGUGCUGCAUUGAAGCACUCCCAGCAUCGGGCACAGGUGCCAGAUGCAUCUGCUUGUAGAGGCUAGGCUGUAGCCUACCAGCUGGGGCCCUUUAGAGGACUUUGUGCUGUGGCCUAUUUGCAGAACUUCCAGACAACCGAGCCCUUGUUGUAAAGCGCGAGUGUUCGUUAGGUGUUUGGUAUCCAAGUGUUGCUUUCAGCUGUACCUUUGGGUUUGCUGCUACUUUGCAUUUUCUCCCUUCCUGAUUUUUGUGUUUUUUCAUUUUUCUUCAGUGAAACAGCAUGCUUGCCAAGGUGUGAAUAGCACCUCAUAUAAAUGCUGUUAAUUCUGACUUGCAAAUCAGUGUAUAUGUAUUAAUUACCUUUUUUUCAAUCUUAAGUGUUUCUAUUUUGUACUCCUGCUUCGUGUUGCUGCAGGAGUAUCUGUGGUUUCACAGGGAUGGGGAAGUUGUUUAAAAAUAAUAAUAAUAAUAAUAAAUCAGCAUUCAAGGCACUUAAUUGUUUAAAGCCUGCAUUAAAAAAUGCACUGUAAUUGAGCAGUGCAGCCUGUGAAGAACUAUGUCAUUUCAGUUCAACUAAGAAGAAUGCCAUGUUACUGUCAUCAUUUAUGAUACUGGACAACUGAGCUCCGUGUUCUUGCCUUGUGUAAUUAAAACAUUGGAAAUGAUGAUUUCAGGGAGUUAAAACAUCAGGAGUGUGUGCAGACCCUGUCAUGGCUCUGCCAGCUGUACAGCCCACAGGGCUACGGUGAAAGGGGCGGUGGUGGGCUUGUGCUGGUGAGCAGGCUUAGUGGGGAUGCACCAAGCUGUUCACGCUUGCAACUCCCUGCAGUUCCCCAAGCCCUGCAGACACCUCAUACUUCCCCUGGGCUGGGAAAUGCUCUAAUGGGCAAACAGGAAUUGGCUGCGAGCUGCAGGGCUUCAGGAGCAAAUGUCCAGCUCUGCUUAUGGGGAGGGAGGGGCAGGGCAGGUAGGAGCUCCUUCAGCUGAUGGGCAAGCAUCACAGGACACUUCCAGCCCAAGCACUACGCCACUCAUGCACCUUAACAGACUUGGGACUGUAUUCCAAUACACUAAUACACUUUAUUUUUAUUUAUUUUAAUUCUGGAUGAGUCUUAAAUGUACUUAUUUUUCUCUUUUAAGCUGACACUGUUUUCUAUAGGGCUAAUGUCCCUGGUCCUCACAUGAUGCAAAUGUGAUGUUUCCUGUAAAAGUGGCACAGACAUCUAGCAGCUUGGGAGGAGCAGCAAAAAUAGAAACAUAACUGAUUCGUAACAGUUGUCCUCAGGCCUUGUAGGGUAACAGAAUUAAGCCUUUCCCUAUUCUAUCCAUUUAAAUGCCCAGCAACUAAGCAGGGAUUUUCAAAGUAGACUUGAAACUGUUUCCAGGUUCCAUUUAAAAGGCUGGUGAAAACUGGAAUGCCAGCUCUCUGAAGGCAGGAUGUUGGUAUAUUAAUGCUGGAGCACAGUGAGGAGCACGUGAUGCAGGAUCCAGCAGAUCUUAGGGCAGUUAUUUCUGCUUGUCUAACACAGAACAUUUCUGCUUGUCUGACGCACAACCAUACUAGUCAGACUAUACCUUUAAAGCUUAUUUGCAGUCAAGGAAGGUCAAAAUUGAGCAUUUGAGAGAGAGUAAACCACUGGGGUUCUGUAAAAUUUUAACUAUUUGGAUGACCAUGAAAAUCAAGAAACUCGGGUUUGUUAAGCUCUCGAGCAGUAACAGCUAUGGCUUUGUGUAUUGCUUUGCCUGUCUUGUUUCCUCUUUGAGAGAGGUUGAUUAAAUAACAUCUCAGAACUGCCUGCUGGGUUGUUUGAAGUGUUGUAGCUUUUUAUUGCUGAUUCGUUUCCUUGUAAUCUUAUGAUGUUUGGUGAUCUGGAAAGCUGGAUUUUCAAGAAGGGCCAGACUGAAAUCUGUUCAGUGUGAAAUGUGUUCAGCUCUUACAAGGUUGGUAAGUUCUAUGUUAAACCACCUUGAAAGCUAUCUUAUUUUUCAGGAUUUAUUUUUCGUAUUUUUUUUGGGGGGGGGGGGGGGGGGCAGGGGGGAAGGAGGAAGAUAGGAUUACCGUUAAUAAAGGUAACAGCAGCUUACUGGAAAAGUUAAAUAUUAACAGUAUCCUCUUUGAUCUUACUCAAAGACUGCUCUACAAGAAAGUCGUGUAUCUUCAGUGUCCUACCCGAGCUAGUUGGAAAACUUACAGUUUUAACUGACUUUAAAUAGUAAUAAAAUAGUGGGCCAAAUAUCUCAUGAAAGACUUCCCAUAUAUGUACUCCAAAGUGAUACAUAUUUUUAGAUGUUUUCAGUGGACAUACUUGUUGCUCUCUAUUUUAGACACAGUGUAAUUUCCCAGCCAGAAGCCUGUUUCAUUUUCCUCUCUGAAAAUGAGGAACGUAAAAGGAAUUGAUGCUGAAAAUGACAUGUUCUUGUACAGUUUUGGAAAUGCAUGACGAUGAUAUCUUGUAACUCUACACAGUGAGUUUUAUUGGGCUCUGUGUAGUGAAUUAGCCUUUUCUCUGCUUGGCAAGCUUUUAGGGGCUUGUAAUACAUGUUUUUCUUUUCCUGCUUCUUCUGUUCCUCUUCUGAUUAAAAAUAAAAUAAAAGAUGUAUUUUAAAAUUUGUUUUAUUCUGAGAUCUGCUUAUUCUAGUGUAUGAUAGGUUACCUCAUUAACUCAAUUCACAGGCUAAACAGAAACAAAGUUCAAAAUUGCUGUAGUUGUCAUCUAUAAAUCUUUGAUUAUAAAGAAACAUUUAAGUUGUGGUUGUGAGGACAAAAAUGUUAGAAGGUUUGUACACGGUUAUACCUGUGACAGUGAUGCUUGUGGUAAUGCUAAGAUGCUGACAGGUUUGUUAACCCUCCCGUUAAAUGAACUUGUGGUAUUUUUCUCUUCUUUGGGGUGUGUUUGUAGAGGAUAAUAGAAAUAUUUGCUGUAUGCCGUUCUUAAAUCUUGUAAAUUAAUGUCCAAUAAAUCAAACUGUGUGCAUG